ensembl:lncRNA
AUGCAAGCGGGGCUGGAGGAGAGGAUCCACAGCUUGGAUGCCUAUGUGAGACGGUUCCAGCGCCUGGUACAGCCAGCGGGCGCCCUGGAUGGCAUGGCCGGCUUGCUUCUGCGGCUGUGCCAGGCGGGGCUGGGGGCCGUGCAGGACGGCGGCCGGGCGGUGGCCGCGCUGUGGGGCCUGAGCCCCGCCGGGCGGGUGCUCACCCUCCACGUGCCGCUCUCCCUGGAGAGGCUGCGGGCAGGUCUGGAGCAGCUGCGGAAGGAGCUAGAACGGCCCCUGGCCACGCUGAAGGAUGCCUACCUGGAGGUGACGGUGCAGCCCCUGGACAACGUGUGGCGGAAGCGGGCGGAGGAGGCCCUGCGGCAGCUGCAGGCCUGGGUGUCCGGGACACCGGGCACCUGGGGGUCCGGACCCCUUGGGGCAGCGCUGGAGGCCACAGGGGGCGCCCUGGAGCUGGCCGCCCACCAGAUGCUGUCUUGGGCCGACGCUGCGCUCUCACGGGCACUGAGGCGGCUCCGCAGACCCCUGUUGGACCUGUACAGCUUCUCGGCCAGGGACCGCGCGGUGGUGGUAACGCUGCCGAUGCUGCCAGCAGGGGAUGAGCCCCUGGAUGUGGCCCGCGUGACCAGCCACCUGAUGGAAGAGCUGCUGCUGCGGCCGCUCCGAGCGCUGUACGGGACCAGCGUGCUGGCCGAGUACCACCGGCUCAAACGUGGCCUGCUGGGGGCCCCCUCUGGAUACCAUGCCAUGGUGGCCGGGACCAGGUACGUGGUGACCUUUGACGGCCAGGUGUGGGGCAUUGGUGACCGCUGUGGCAGCCUGCUGCUGGCCCAGGACUUUGCUCACAACACGUUCUCGCUGAUGCUAAACCGGACAGGCUCGGGGCUCACAUCGUUGACCGUGGGGCUGAACCACACCAUCCUCGCCCUCUACCCCAGCCUGAAGACCUACAGGCUGUACAGCAACUCCCUGCCCAGGGAGAGCUGUCUGGACAGGGACCUGCCUCCCGCCAAGACCAGGAGGGACGACCCCAGGAUUGAACUGACCAGUGAGGACGGCGUCUCCAUCACCUGUGACGUCCCCGCCGGCCUCUGCAGCCUGACUCUGAGCGUCUGGCAGCACGGCCUGUCCGCUGGUCUUCUGGGCACCAAUGACAACGAGGCCGGCAACGAGCUGAUGCUGCCAGAUGGCACACUGGCCAGCAGCCUGGAGGAGUUCGCCCUGGCCUGGCAGGUGGCUGGUGACUGCAGAGCCGUGGAGAAGACUCGGCCGGCAUGCCCGGAACAGAGCCCCACCUGCCGGGCCUUCUUCCACGACCCCCACUCCAGCCUGGCAAGCUGUUUUGGAGUGGUGGACCCAACACCCUUCCUCAGCCUGUGCGCCCGGGACACCUGUGGCACCCAGGAGCGCCAGCCUGCUUGCACCCUGGCUGCCGCCUACGUCCAGCUGUGUGCCAGGGGCUUCGUGCCCGUGGACCCGCCUCCACAGUGCGUUUGAGAUUCUGCUUGAGGCAGCACCAGGCUUGCCAAAGAUCUGAGACUUCCUCUCCUUCUGCCACAAUUCCAUCUCAUCCAGUUACAAUCUCAUCUCAUCCAGCAAGGUCAAGAUUCUUGUCUGGGGUAGAAUGAUGAGCACAAAAUACCAGGAAGUCAGAGAAGAUCAGGACUGAGGUGGAUCCAGGAAAGAAGGGCUGUUAGUGAUUUUGAAAUACCUCUGGGGGCGAUGGAGCCCACAUUGGUCUGGAUAAUUCUCCAUCUUCCUCAACACCUGCCCUGUGAUCCAGGAGACAGCCUGGCCCGCUGGAUCCCGCUCUGGAGAGGGAACGCCACUUCAGAACUAUUCUUGCCUGUGAUAUUUCUUCACUCGCCCGGCUGCUAUUUCUGAAGCCUCUGCUGUAUGAGUCAGGCUGCCCCGGGUCUUCCUAGCUUGGGAUUGGCUUCCCCUGAGGCAUGAGUUUCCUUGAGGGGAACGGAUGGUCCCAAAUCCCUUAAUCAAAGCCUGGUUGGGUGCUUCCCUCUUGGCACAGAUCCUGAUUCUAAGGUUGAAUGUUCCAGGGGACUGGUUUCCACAGAGCUGUGCUCUGGGCAUUCAGCCCCCAAGGGUACAGCCUGCAGAGUUGUUCACUUACUUUGGGGGAAGGCGUUGCCCUUGAAAAAUUAAAGCUGGCAGAAUCCAAGCACACGUGUAUUAGAUUGGUGGAGUCAGCUGUUCCACUGGAGGGAUGGGGUGGAGGGGGGAGGCGUGGAUGGCUGUGAAACCUGUUCACCAGUAGGGGGCCCCCAGGACCCUCUCUACACCAAAUCAAGAGUCCAGAGCAGUGGUGAGCUAUCAGCCAUAAGGCUCCGUGCUACCAGAAAGCCAGAUGCUGGUUCUCAGCUGUCCUUGGCCUCCCCACAUGCAAUCCUCGGCACACAGCAGGUGCUCAGUGAAGUUUAGAAAGAGGAACUCAAGAGGGUUUUAGACUUUCCAGCAGUAAAUGCAAAUGGGGGAUCUGGUCCUGCUCAUUCCCACACUCUGGAGGGGAUGCUGUGUUGCCAUGGUUAUUACAACCAGAAGACUCCAGAGUCCAAGCUCUGCUCUUCAAAACACGUUUGCUCGUCCCUCUGACUUUAUAAUAACCCAAUGAGGUGUGGACGAUCCCCGAGUACCAGAAGCAGCUGCAGCAACAGGGUCAGAGAGCCCAGGGCACGUACCCAAGGUCACACGACUAGCAGAUGGCCAGGCUGGCGCUGAUCUGGGCCCGUCUGCCCCAACCACAACCAUCCGCCUUCCACUUCAUGGGGGCCUUGUACCGUCUAUGGGCAUACCUCAUUUCAUUGCACUUUGCAGACACUGCGUUUUGGGGGCUUGGGAGGGUUGUUUACAUUUUAUGAAUGGAAGGUUUGCAGCAGCCCUUUGUUGAGGAAAUCUGUCAGUGCCAUUUUCCUCAGAGCAUCGCUCAUUUGGUGUCUCUGUGUCACAUUUUGGUAAUUCUCACAAUAUUUCAGACUUUUUCAUGAUUAUAAUAUGUGUUAUGGUAAUCUGUGAUGUUACUACUACAACUAGCAUUUUUUUUAAGCAAUAAUUAAGAUAUGCACACUGGUUUUUUAGAAACAAUGGUAUUGCACACUCAAUAGACUACAGUAUAAACAUAACUAUUAUAAGCAGUGGAAAGCCAAAAUGUUCCUGUGACUCACUUUAUGUCAGUGGUCUGGAACUGAACCCAGACAUCACCGAGGUGUGCCUACAGUCUGAUCUUUACAAAAGAGUCAAAUGAACUUCAGCUGUAUCCCAAAUCAUAAUGUGGAAUGCUUGUUCAUUUUUUCCUAAAAGGCAUCAAAACAGGGACUUCCCCAGUGGUCCAGUGGCUAAGACUCCACGCUCCCAAUGCAGGGAGCUGGGUUCAAUCCCCCUGGUCAGGGAACUAGGCCACAACUGAGAGUCCGCAUGCAUGCUAAAGAGCUCACACGCCACAGUGAAGACCGAAGAUCCUGUGUGCCCCAACUAAGACCUGGUGCAGCCAGAUAAAAAAGAUUUUUUUCAAAUUAUUAUAAAUACAAGGAAAAAAAUAGACAUCAAA